AUUGAACGCUGGCGGCAGGCCUAACACAUGCAAGUCGAGCGGAGCGGCAGACGGGUGAGUAAUGCUUAGGAAUCUGCCUGGUAGUGGGGGAUAACGUCCGGAAACGGGCGCUAAUACCGCAUACUAUCAGAUGAGCCUAGGUCGGAUUGGCUAGUGGGUGGGGUAAAGGCCUACCAAGGGGACGAUCCGUAACUGGUCUGUGAGGAUGAUCAGUAACACUGCGACUGAGACACGGUCCAGACUCCUCCGGGAGGCAGCAGUGGGGACUAUUGGGCAAUGGGCGAAAGCCUGAUCCAGUCAUGCCGCGUGUGUGAAGAAGGUCGUCGGAUUGUAAAGCCCUGUUAGUUGGGAGGCGUUACCAACAGAGUAAGCCCCGGCUAACUUCGUGCCAGCAGCCGCGGUAAUAC
rnacentral:rRNA from 1 species